UGGCCGGUAGCUCAGCACGGACAGAGCGUUCGGUCUCGUACCGAACGGUCGGGGGUUCGAAUCCUCCUCGGCUAG
rnacentral:tRNA from 1 species